rnacentral:lncRNA from 1 species
GUUGGUGAAGACCCUUAUUGGUUAUCUGACUCCAUUUGCUAUAACUUUCCAUUCAUCCCCCCCCCCCCCAUAUUGUACUGAAACCAGUACCAUACAGAACCUUCAAUGGGGGAAAAGAAUAUAGGAAAAAGAUAUGAAGGAUCUUGGUGUUGUAUGAAAUUAAUAUAAAUAUAUAACUCAUAGUUGGCACAUCCAUAUUAAGGUAGGGCAUGGAGUGAAAGUGUAGUUUCUGACUUCAGGAAGCUCCCUUGCAUGUCUGUGGUGUCAUUAUGUCAGGUCACAUGACCCAGACUGUCCAAUCAAAAGCAAACUAGGUGAAACAUCAUAGGCAGUAAGGCUCUGAUGUCUUCCUGAAUUCAAGUCCUCUCCUUGACUGGCCUUAAUUUCUUUGGUCCAAUUAUAUGUAGGAUGGGCCCCUGGCCACUUGUAAAGUGGUUCAGGCAGAUUGGGAAUAUAGGACUGGAUGAAUCAGCAGUACAGCUUUAGUGUUCAACAAGGAUCUCAUGAGACUGUCUGCCCCACCUUCUUUCACUACUGGAGCCUUUGUCUCAGGAAACACUCUGUCUGGGACCCAAGAUAGCCAUGAAUACUUCAUUAUAAAGCUGACAUAUGGAGAAGAGAAGUGGACCACUGGGCUAAAGAUAUAUUCUAAGUCACUUUCUAAACAACUGUGAUGUCUAAGAAGAGGAAAUCCAAAAUUUGAUGAUGGAGGUAAAGCCCCUAAUACCAUAUCAUGGGAGAAACUAAAUUUUCCACAUAUUAUCAAGAUUAAUGCCUUUGAAAACAUUGGUUUGCCAAAUGUUUUUGUCUCUGAC